AUUGAACGCUGGCGGCAGGCUUAACACAUGCAAGUCGAGCGGGGGAAGGUAGCUUGCUACCGGACCUAGCGGCGGACGGGUGAGUAAUGCUUAGGAAUCUGCCUAUUAGUGGGGGACAACAUCUCGAAGGGAUGCUAAUACCGCAUACGUCCUACGGGAGAAAGCAGGGGAUCUUCGGACCUUGCGCUAAUAGAUGAGCCUAAGUCGGAUUAGCUAGUUGGUGGGGUAAAGGCCUACCAAGGCGACGAUCUGUAGCGGGUCUGAGAGGAUGAUCCGCCACACUGGGACUGAGACACGGCCCAGACUCCUACGGGAGGCAGCAGUGGGGAAUAUUGGACAAUGGGGAACCCUGAUCCAGCCAUGCCGCGUGUGUGAAGAAGGCCUUAUGGUUGUAAAGCACUUUAAGCGAGGAGGAGGCUACUCUAGUUAAUACCUAGGGAUAGUGGACGUUACUCGCAGAAUAAGCACCGGCUAACUCUGUGCCAGCCGCCGCUGUAA
rnacentral:rRNA from 1 species